rnacentral:rRNA from 1 species
UGUUUCGGCAAGGGGGUCAUCCCGACUUACCAACCCGAUGCAAACUGCGAAUACCGGAGAAUGUUAUCACGGGAGACACACGGCGGGUGCUAACGUCCGUCGUGAAGAGGGAAACAACCCAGACCGCCAGCUAAGGUCCCAAAGUCAUGGUUAAGUGGGAAACGAUGUGGGAAGGCCCAGACAGCCAGGAUGUUGGCUUAGAAGCAGCCAUCAUUUAAAGAAAGCGUAAUAGCUCACUGGUCGAGUCGGCCUGCGCGGAAGAUGUAACGGGGCUAAACCAUGCACCGAAGCUGCGGCAGCGACGCUGAUGCGUUGUUGGGUAGGGGAGCGUUCUGUAAGCCUGUGAAGGUGUGCUGUGAGGCAUGCUGGAGGUAUCAGAAGUGCGAAUGCUGACAUAAGUAACGAUAAAGCGGGUGAAAAGCCCGCUCGCCGGAAGACCAAGGGUUCCUGUCCAACGUUAAUCGGGGCAGGGUGAGUCGACCCCUAAGGCGAGGCCGAAAGGCGUAGUCGAUGGGAAACAGGUUAAUAUUCCUGUACUUGGUGUUACUGCGAAGGGGGGACGGAGAAGGCUAUGUUGGCCGGGCGACGGUUGUCCCGGUUUAAGCGUGUAGGCUGGUUUUCCAGGCAAAUCCGGAAAAUCAAGGCUGAGGCGUGAUGACGAGGCACUACGGUGCUGAAGCAACAAAUGCCCUGCUUCCAGGAAAAGCCUCUAAGCAUCAGGUAACAUCAAAUCGUACCCCAAACCGACACAGGUGGUCAGGUAGAGAAUACCAAGGCGCUUGAGAGAACUCGGGUGAAGGAACUAGGCAAAAUGGUGCCGUAACUUCGGGAGAAGGCACGCUGAUAUGUAGGUGAAGUCCCUCGCGGAUGGAGCUGAAAUCAGUCGAAGAUACCAGCUGGCUGCAACUGUUUAUUAAAAACACAGCACUGUGCAAACACGAAAGUGGACGUAUACGGUGUGACGCCUGCCCGGUGCCGGAAGGUUAAUUGAUGGGGUCAGCGCAAGCGAAGCUCUUGAUCGAAGCCCCGGUAAACGGCGGCCGUAACUAUAACGGUCCUAAGGUAGCGAAAUUCCUUGUCGGGUAAGUUCCGACCUGCACGAAUGGCGUAAUGAUGGCCAGGCUGUCUCCACCCGAGACUCAGUGAAAUUGAACUCGCUGUGAAGAUGCAGUGUACCCGCGGCAAGACGGAAAGACCCCGUGAACCUUUACUAUAGCUUGACACUGAACAUUGAGCCUUGAUGUGUAGGAUAGGUGGGAGGCUUUGAAGUGUGGACGCCAGUCUGCAUGGAGCCGGCCUUGAAAUACCACCCUUUAAUGUUUGAUGUUCUAACGUUGACCCGUGAUCCGGGUUGCGGACAGUGUCUGGUGGGUAGUUUGACUGGGGCGGUCUCCUCCUAAAGAGUAACGGAGGAGCACGAAGGUUGGCUAAUCCUGGUCGGACAUCAGGAGGUUAGUGCAAUGGCAUAAGCCAGCUUGACUGCGAGCGUGACGGCGCGAGCAGGUGCGAAAGCAGGUCAUAGUGAUCCGGUGGUUCUGAAUGGAAGGGCCAUCGCUCAACGGAUAAAAGGUACUCCGGGGAUAACAGGCUGAUACCGCCCAAGAGUUCAUAUCGACGGCGGUGUUUGGCACCUCGAUGUCGGCUCAUCACAUCCUGGGGCUGAAGUAGGUCCCAAGGGUAUGGCUGUUCGCCAUUUAAAGUGGUACGCGAGCUGGGUUUAGAACGUCGUGAGACAGUUCGGUCCCUAU